AACGACAAAGGCAAACCUACUCGAAAGAUAGGGACGCAAAGCUAUAGGGCCUCUCCCAAGUGGCAGCCUGGCUACCGAAA
rfam:Paenibacillus sp. FSL R7-0331, complete genome.